rnacentral:lncRNA from 13 species
UGUCUGGGGUGCACCUCUAGUAGCUGUGGCACAGCGAGGGAUGCUACCAGUUUCUUUUUCUGCUCUCUUUGUCCCAGGAUGAUGCCUGCCUAAUGUCAGUCUUUUGGAUAUAGAGGGGUCAGGGAGCUGCUUGAGGAGACAGUUUGUACUUUAUAGGGGUUUAAUUGCUGAGCUGUGCACUCUGUUGUUCAUUCAGGGCAGUUAGGCUGCUAUGUUUUAUUCUGCUGCAACAGAGCUCAUUAAAAAACACUUUUUUUUUUUUUUUCUCAAAUGCUCUGUGUUGAGGGGUUUGGGCUUUAUUUUCGGAUGUCUGAUCAGGUGUCCUGCCCAGCUAGAAGGCAGACUAGCCACUGUUUGGCUGUCGAGGCUCCGCCCUGCUGUUGUGUGAUUCGCGCUGUUCCUGCCGGCUCUGCUGUGGUCUCCGCCACGCCCUGCGGCGGAGUCUCUUCGUUGUAGCGUGUUGCCUCAGCAACGGCAGGCUGCGUCAGCAGUGGGCGUGUAUCUCAGUUGGGGCGGGUUGCCUCGGCAACGGCUGGCUGCGUCAGCAGUGGGCAUCCCACUGGGUAUCCCAAACGAUCUGUCCCUGCAAUCCCCUGGGCUGGGCUACUGUGCAAGUCUCGUUCAGUCUCAAGUCCAGCCCUCUCAAGUCUCAGGUUGCCGGUUCAACAGGGCACCCGGACACGCGCGCCCUGUGGGGAUUGCUGGGUAGGGCCGGCCGCCGCCGCCCCGGCUGCCGGCUUUGCCAGGCAGACCUACUGCCUGGCGUCCCAUGUCUUUUUAUACUUGGGAGUUUCCCCUUCUGUGGGCAACAAAGAUCAGUCUGUAAAUGCAGCUCUGACUCACCAUUUGCGGAUUCAACGCGAGCUCCAAUCCUUGGUUGUUCUCACAGCGCCAUCUUGCCACGUCUUAUUAUUAGUUUACAGAUGCAAAAGCUAUAGCUCAGAAAGUAAAGUAUCUAGCCUAAAAUUGCAUAUUGUUGACCUUGAAUGUUUAGAGACAAUGUUUCUUGAUAAAAACUUAACUAAUGAUUUGAUC